GCUGAUGUUCCAGCUCUAUUAGCUCAGCGUGACUCAUGCAAUAAGUGGGUUUCAAGAUUGGCUAGGUUCUAGGCAACAAUUCAACCAAGAACUCUACCUCACAUAGAGGAGGUAGAUCAGAAAGUUCGAUGGGAAAGACAUCCAUAAAAUUACAAACAAUUGGUAUGUAACAUACAACAGGAUCAGUGCCCAUAUUCUUGUUAAUU
rnacentral:lncRNA from 1 species